UGUUACUUUUAUCCUUCUCUUCUUAGAUCUACGAAACAUUGACGCCUAUUUCGUUGUUGAUAUUUUUGUUGUUGUUGCACGUUUCGAGAAAUUAUAUCUGGUUGAUCUAAACUGCUUGAUCAACGAGUUGUUUAGAAGCUAGAUGGGUUAAGAAAAAAUUAUGCAGAUCUGAACAAAAGCGCUUAUGGAUUAGGAAUUCUUUUUGGAAAAGUUGCAAAUAAAGCUAAAAAGAAUGUGUUGGGGAAGAUCAUGUUUGAUAUUGCGACACAUCAAUUCAAAUUUCAAAUAUCCCUCUUCAUUUGUAACCCAAUCAAUUUCUAUCUUCUGAGUGCAACCAUUUGGACACAAUAUAUAUAACUUACAAAAUUUUAUAUUAAAUAUCAUGUUUUCAAUAA